rnacentral:rRNA from 1 species
CCUACGGGUGGCUGCAGUGGGGAAUAUUGCACAAUGGGGGAAACCCUGAUGCAGCGACGCCGCGUGAGUGAAGAAGUAUUUCGGUAUGUAAAGCUCUAUCAGCAGGGAAGAAGAAAGACGGUACCUGACUAAGAAGCCCCGGCUAACUACGUGCCAGCAGCCGCGGUAAUACGUAGGGGGCAAGCGUUAUCCGGAUUUACUGGGUGGAAGGGGAGCGUAGACGGCUGUGCAAGUCUGAAGUGAAAGCACAGGGCUCAACCCUGGGACGGCUUUGGAAACUGUGGGGCUAGAGUGCUGGAGAGGUAAGUGGAAUUCCAGGUGUAGCGGUGAAAUGCGUAGAUAUCUGGAGGAACAUCAGUGGCGAAGGCGACUAUCUGGCACAUAACUGACGCUGAGGAGCGAAAGCGUGGGUAGCAAACAGGAUUAGAUACCCGUGUAGUC